rnacentral:rRNA from 1 species
AGGAGCUGAAGCUUUUUGAGAUUGUACAUCAAACAUGGAUGUGUGUCUCCAAAUAUUUUCCGAAUUUUCGAACAUAUUUUGUAUCUUCAAAAAGAUUGUCUUCUCCACAUCUUUCUUAACCAUUAGGCUAUAAAAACUUGACCAGUAAAGGACUACCAUGUUUAUGCAUCAGAGAUCUUGCUAUUUCAACCAAGAUUUGAUUCUCCUAUUUCAGAGAUCUUUGCGGACUUUUUAUAUUGUGUUUUCUUUUUCAUACAGCAGAAGCAUGGUUCUGGGAGGUCUCCGCCGCCUCCUGAACGAGUGAUGUUUGGGAAGCAAAAGCAAAAGGAGGUCCAGGAGACACACCCAAUAAAGAAGAAAUCCUAAUCUUUGACGAAUUAUAGGUGGAAAAAGGAUUCACCUUUCCACGAAAGAAGAUUAAGAUAGACUGCCUGGGAUUUUUGUCACCUCCACGAAAGAAGUUUAAAGAUGGACUGACUGGGAUUUUGUCACCUCCACGAAAGAAAUUUAAGAUGUACUGAAAAUCUCCGCCACCUUCCCAGGAAAGAAGUAAAUGGAUUGAACAUACUUACUGUAAAUGUUCAAGACUAAAGUGUGAUUUAUAUCCGUCAGUUUGCUAUAAGAAAUAGUAAACAUAUAUAUUUAAAAUGUUUGGACCUGUUAAUUCCGCCUGGCUCUUUUUCCACAUGG